CAGCUCAAGCAUCUCAUCCGACGUGAGUUCAAGUACAGAUCACACACCCACCAAAGCCCAGAAGAAUGCAGCUACCAGUGAAGAACACAUCUUUCAUCUUUUUGGAAUACUGUUGGACCCAGUGGAUAUUUUUUUUACCUAUGACUCAAAAUAACCAAUGACUUCUUCAAGGGAUGUAACAUAUCUGCAAGUCUGACUGUUUUAAUGAUCUCCUAAGAUAUAUGUAGUUAAUAAGUAUUACAACUUCAGCAAAUAAAAGGCAAUGACUCUGCUCCAAGUUAACAUCUGAAUUUAAAGCAAAGUUGGAUUUACUGGACACUUAAAAGUAAUUAUCUACAGGCACCAAUAGAAGAAGUUUGGAGGAAAAAAUAAUCAAUUCUAGCAAGUUUUUGUCUCCCUAUAGAGCCUGUGAUGUACACCUGACAACUUUGAAUGAUCCUUUUUGGACUUAGC